GCGGCCUCUUAGGGCUGACAGUGCAUUAAGAGGCUAUUCCAGAAAGAAGGGUAUAAUAAUUCUCCAUUAAACCCAAACUUGAGAUGUAAAGCUCUUUUUUGGAUCCUGUCUGGAGUUACAACU